rnacentral:rRNA from 1 species
GAUGAACGCUGGCGGCGUGCCUAAUACACGCAAGUCGAGCGAAUGGAUUAAGAGCUUGCUCUUAUGAAGUUAGCGGCGGACGGGUGAGUAACACGUGGGUAACCUGCCCAUAAGACUGGGAUAACUCCGGGAAACCGGGGCUAAUACCGGAUAACAUUUUGAACCGCAUGGUUCGAAAUUGAAAGGCGGCUUCGGCUGUCACUUAUGGAUGGACCCGGGUCGCAUUAGCUAGUGGGUGAGGUAACGGCUCACCAAGGCAACGAUGCGUAGCCGACCUGAGAGGGUGAUCGGCCACACUGGGACUGAGACACGGCCCAGACUCCUACGGGAGGCAGCAGUAGGGAAUCUUCCGCAAUGGACGAAAGUCUGACGGAGCAACGCCGCGUGAGUGAUGAAGGCUUUCGGGUCGUAAAACUCUGUUGUUAGGGAAGAACAAGUGCUAGUUGAAUAAGCUGGCACCUUGACGGUACCUAACCAGAAAGCCACGGCUAACUACGUGCCAGCCGCCGCGGUAA